rnacentral:lncRNA from 1 species
CUUUUUUAACUUGGUGUAUUUUAUAUUCAAAAUUAUUUUUAAACAGGAUAGCAACUCCUCGUUGAUUAGAUGCGUAAGAAUUGAAAAUACAUUGACCUUUCCACUGGUUUCUUAUCAGGGUUUCAUCUUGUUCUACAAAGUGUGUGUCUUGAAGACAAUAUAUAUCAAAAUCUUUUGAAUGCAGAUAAUUAAAAAUGUCCCCCUUUUUUCUCUCAUUUGAAGUCCUUGACAAUUAUGAGACAUUAUUUUAAUAUUUUUACCCUCCAUUACAAUAAUAAAUCUUCAAAGAAUUGAAAGUGGAUAACUGCC